UAUAUAUAUACACACACACACAUAUACACACACAAUAGAACUUUUUUUAAGUUGUAGAUGGAAACAAUACCUUUAUUUUAUUUAUUUAUCUUUAUGUGGGGCUGAGGAUCAAACCCAGUGUCUCAAACAUGUGAGAUGAGUACUCUACCACUGAGCCACAACUCCAGCACCACAAUGGACUAUUACUCAGCCUUAAAGUAGAAUGAAAUUAUGACAUUUGCCAGUAAAUGGAUGGAACUGGAGGAUAUCAUGCUAAGUGAAAUAAGCCAAUCCCAAAGAAUCAAAGGUCGGAUAUUUUCUCUGAUAUGUAGAUGCUAAUUCUCAAUAAGGAGGUGGGCAGAAUAUAGUUACUUUGUAUUAGAAAGAAGUGAAAAGAGGGGAGGAGGUAUGGGGGGAGGAAUGAUAGUAGAAUGAAUCAGGCAUUUUUACCCUGUGUGCAUAUAACAUGACCUGUGUAACUCUAUAUCAUAUACAACGAGAAGAAUGAGCAGUUAUACUCCAUUUAUGUAUGAUGUGUCAAAAUGGAUUCUACUGUCACAUAUAACUAAUUAAAACAAAUUUAAAUAAAAACAAACAAAAAACAAUCCCUCUUGGCUUUGAAGACUCAUACUAAUGUGUCUUCUACCAAAUGAGAUUUCAUCCUGGCUUAUUUCUUUUUCCUUGAGAAGCUGUGACUGUCUUUUCUUUUUUUUUAAUUAGUCGAGGUACCAUGCAUAUACCAAAAUCAUCACCUUUCUAAAGUGUACAGUCCAGUGGCUUUCAGCUAAUUCACCAGGUUGUUCAGCCACCACUCUUCUCAGCACAUCCAGAAGAUGUCCCCUGCCCCUUAGUUGUCACCUGCCAGGUCCUCCCAACAAGUCCCCCCAGCCCUUGGCAACUCAUUUCUAAGUCCGUGGAUUUGCUUGUUGACCUGUUUUGCAUAUUUCACAUAAAUGUGAAUAUACAACACAUGGACUUUUUAAUCUGGCUUUUUUCACACAGUGUGGUGUUUCCGAAGGCCCAUGUGUGCUUAGCAGGUCUCUGUGCUUCCUUCCUUUUUGUGUCUGGGUGUUAUUCCCCUGUAUAGACAGUGUCACUUUAUCUCCUAGUAGAAGGACAUUUAGAUUGUUGUUGUUUUGAAUAAUGCUGCUAUGAGUGUUCAUGGACGAGAUUUUGUGUGGACAUUUGUUUCUAGUUCACUUGGGGUGUGCUUAAGUGUCUGAGGAACUGGAAAACUUUGCAGGUGACUCCAUGUUACCUUCCCACCAUCAGUGUAUGAACGUCUGGUUUCUCCCCCUCCUUGCCAAUGCACGUGAUUAUCUAUUCCAGCAUCAUUCUUAGUCGCAUUUCUUUUGUAGAUGGAAGGGCAGGAUGUGGAUGGUAAGAACCAAACCCAGAGAGCCACCGUUGGGACCCAGGGUAGAACUCGCAUCUUCUGAUUUGUACUCACCAUUCUUUCUGCCACACAGAUUCAGGGAAGCAUUUGAUUCUUCAGUAUCUGUGACAUCCAGUGGUGUAUCCACCUAGCCUCGCCUCUGAACACCAGACUUGAAUAGCCACCUGCUUAACUCCACUUGGAUGUACACUGGGCACGUCGAACCAGAACGAAGUUUUGUCCCAGAACGAAGUUUGGGUCUCCCAGCCCUUCCUUCCCCCAUUUCACUGGAGGGUAAACUUCUGCUCGAGGCAGAAGCUUAAAAUUGUUAUCUUCCCUGUCUCUCAUUCUCCAUAUCCAACUUAUUGGCUUUUUGUUCAACAUAGUCUUAUUCUGACCACUUCUUUCUUUCUGCCCUGACCAAGCCACAAACAUCUCUCACCUAUCCUACUCACCUGUGCUAGUCACCUGGCUCUCAUCUCUCACCUGGUCUUCAGAUGGUAUCAGUCCCCUGCUCAGAUUCCCUACAGUAGGUUCUUUUCAAACCUAGUGAAAUGUAAUGUCCUGGAAACGUACUGAAACUGGUACAGGUGCAGCUCCGUGGUAGAGUGUAGGCUUAGCCUGUGCAAAGUUCUUUCUGGGUCCCGUCCUCCAAAUCGGUCAGUCAGUCCUAGGUCCCUGACCACAGCCUGCUUUCAGUGCCUGCCAUCUUCUGCUCACUCUCAUUGGCUGCUUUGCUCUUCUGCGAUGCUACCACCACCACGUUCUCCAGUCAGGUGCUUUGAACUUGGUAUCCCCCCAGCUCUGAGCCCUCCUCCUGCAGCCCUGAGCCCGCUUCCCCCAGGUGUUUGCACUGACUUGCAGCCUAGGUUCUGUUAAGGUUCUGCUUGUAUGUCACCUCAUCAAGAGGCUGUCCCUGGCCACCAUAUUGAAACCACAACCCAUCACUUUCCCUUGCCCACUCAUUUUAUCCCUUGCAUUGCUUUUAAAAGAAUUAUUUAACAGUAUAUGAAAUGCUUAUUUGUUUAUUUUUCUAUUUUGCCUAUUAAGCGGUAAGCUCCAAGGAGCAGGCGCUUUGUCUCUUUGGUUUGCUGCUCUAUUUGCAUAUUGUGGAAUACUACUUAGCUCAUAAUAGGCAGUCAAUAAAUUAUUGUUAAAUGAACAGUUACUUGAUUUCCUCCCCUGGGGUCAUUUGGAAUCUUUUCCUGUCAACCUAUACUGGGUGAGCUUUUAAUCUUUCAUACAUUUUGCAAAAGACUUCCAUAUAUUUUUGGAUGUGUUUGUUUAAGUCUUUCUGUAACAGUUUCUCCAUAUAUAAAUUUGCAAUAAUGCUAGGCAAGUGUUUUGAGACCUCAUUUGAAAAAUGUUUUCCCCUACAAGUACUAAAGAUUAUGCUUACAAUAUUGUCAUUUUUAUAACUCUAUCUGGUUUUAAUAUGUUAUAACAGUGUGGACCCUGUUAGCCAAGUACGUGGUAAUAGCCUUUUAUUAUAAUACCCUAGGAUAUAAUAUCAUAAUGUAAUAAUAUCUUAUUACUGUGGUUCCACUAAUAAGGAUCUCACUUUAUACACACAGAGCUCUUGUAGUUUUAUGAUACAUAUCCAAGAGUAAGAAUUUGCUAUUGAGAAUCUUGUCUAAAGCAUAAGACACCACAAUACCCAAAGGGAUCGUCAACAAAAUUUGUCUAUUUAAAUUGUACCUUUGUAGUUUAAUUCAUUCUUCUUACUGUGUUGCAUGUUGUUACCUAAAAACCACAGAUUGCUUAAGCACCUCUCGGCUCUGUUUAUUCCAUUUUAUGCAAUUGCCAAAAAUAAGUAAGGCUAAUAUUAACCUUGCUGAAGAUAAUGUUCCAGGACCUUCCAGAAUACUGAAUAAUUCAGGAGGAUGUGAGGCAGUGCCUGAGAAUUGGGCUGUACAGUCAGAUUUACCUAAGUUUUAACUAUAUUUUAAUGUGUAGUGUGGAACAGUAGACUUGAUCUUUCUAAUCUUUAAUUUCUUCACCUGUCAAAUGGGGUGAAUAACUAGGUACCUCCAAAGGUGGAGCAAGAGUUAAAAGAUGAUUCAUAUAAAGCACUUGACAUGUUAUAAAAUAUGUUCAAUAAACGUGAACUGCAAUCCCUACUGGUAGCUGAAGUCUUUAGAGCACUGUAUGUGAAGAAGUGUGCUUUGGCGCAAGACUGGAAUGACUCCCAGAUCAAGCAGAGUGAAGGGGCUUUUUUAGUGGCACUGAAAUGCAAAGGCAUCACCUCUGCUGCCCAGGACUUUGUUGGAAAGGGAACUGGGGCUGCUUCUAACCCCAAUGUAGCAAAUACAGCAUGGAGACCCCCUUAGGGCCAUGUAUGUUGAUAACAUUUAAAGGACAAAGAGAGAUCUUUCUGCAGUUCUUUCUGCAGCUUCAUCUGCCAGGACGAUAGAAUGUUCCUUGUCCAUUAGGAAUUAACGUCUUCUCUUUAUACCAGCCUCUGAGAGUGGAAAUAGAAAAAGUCAUUACAGAUACUCUGGGUUUUGCUUUUCUGUUUUGUUUCCUUGAGAAGAGGUCUCACUAGUACUCUUCUCUCAAUCCUCCUGCCUCAGCCUCCCCGUGCCUGGCCUUGGGUUUGCUUCAAGGUUGCAGCAUGGAGUUUGAACAGUCACCGAGGCUGACUGUGAGCUCUCUGCACUUUCCAGCUCUGUUUUAUUUGCUGCUGCUUUGUGUUUUCAAGGCUCCCCAACUAGGCUAUAGACCAAUGGUUCUCAAGUCACUGCAGGGCUUGUUAAAAACACUGAAUUCUGGGCCGAUCCCCAGGCUUUCUGAUUCUGUGGGUCCAGGUGGGGCUGAGAGUGCAUUUCUAACAAGUUCCCAGGAGACUCUGGUGUAGAUGCUCUGGUCAGGAAGUCGCAUGCUGCCAGCCACCAUUGAAUGCAAUUUGGAUCUCCCCAGAGCGCUUGGCCCCAAGUUGGGCACAGAAUACGCUCCCAAUAAAUACUUGUUGGUUCAUUGCAUCUAAUGACACCAAAAUGAAAUAUAAAGGGGAGAUAAAGUAUAUUACGGUUCUCAUUAGGCUCACUGCCUAGUUCUCAUUAAGACUGCCCUGAUUUCUUUUAUGUCUUGGGCAUGAGGGCUCAGUGCUAAUUUUCACGGAUCCUGUGGUCCCUAAAGUAUUAUCGUUUUCAUCUGCUCCAAGGUUCUCCUCAUUUACCCUUUCCUUUCUCGUCUCAUUUUAGACAGAAUGCUAAUAAUAGCCAACAGAACCCUCGGGACUAAUACAUGAAUGAGAGUUUCUGUGCUUCCCAAAGAGUUUCUGUAAAUCCCUUUGUCAUUAAUCUCAUUUCUCUCUGUCUGUCCCCUCCCGGUGAGUGUAAAGCUAAAGUCCUUGGUUUGUUGCUUCAUUUUCUAGAAUUUUUAAUUUGAUUCUAAGUAGCACGUCUAAGCUAACAUUUGAUUGAGUUACUAGGGAGAAGAUUUACAGAGAACUGAUAGAAAACAAAUUGGACUUGUAGAGAAAGGAUGAUUUGGAGUUGUUAUAUUGCCAAAUUCAUUGUUUAUUUCCCUGAUAUUUUUCUGGCUGUGAGCACUUGGGUAUUUCUUCACCAGAAAAGAAUUUUCAGGGAUUGUUUUGAACAUCCUGUAAACUCUUUUCUAUUUAAGCAUGUUAGACGAAAGAGAGAUUUUUCUUCAUUAAAACAGGAAAAAAAAAAAUCUAAGUUUCCAUUUCCAUUGACCCAUUACUGUGUACCUGGGAGAAAAAUACUCUACAAAGGUACGAAAGGCCUUUAAAUAACUUUCCCCCAGGAUUUCUGAAUGUAAUAUUCCCCUCUUUGUUCGCAGCUAGCAUAGGAGUUUAGUUUUUAGACUAGUGUUUUCUAAAGUAGAUUCCGUGGAACACCAGGAAGAUGUGUGGGUGAACAGAAUUCCAUGACAGAAAUAAAGAAAGCUUGGCAAACCCAGGUUUAAACAAAGUGACACAGAGGCCUUUAGUUCUUUGUCUCAGGACUGACAGAAUCUUUAAUAUGAGCGUUGUGAAUUAAGUAUGAAAGAGGGGACUAUUUUCAGACCCUGAAUAACCAUGGAACCUUCUGGUGCCAGUGUUCUGCGGACUAGACUUUGGCAAGUACCGUAUGAACAUCCUUAUUUUGUGUGUGGGGGGUUUGAUCCCUAAAGAAGUCUCAGGGAUACAGAAAGAUGCUCUUUUUUUUUCUGUACAGAUAAGGUAGACACAAUUUUGAUUCCUUUUCAAAGUAUGUAUAUAUAUUUUCCACGAUUGAAGGGUAGUAAAGAGAUCAUUUAGGAACUCUGUUACCAUUGAAGAGCUCAGUGCCUUUCCUGAAUGCCGAUUUCAGGUUAGAUUUUUUUCUGGAAUAUAGGCAUUUUUGUUCUGUAUUGACUAUUUUGGGACAAAUGUCCUUGUCUAAUUCACCCAGCAUAAUGCCAUUGCUAAGUGCACUUCUGAGUUGCAAUACUGCUGGACACUUAUGGGUUCCCCCGUAUGCCAACUUUCAGAGUUAUGGAAAAUUCAACUAAAUGCCACUUAAGACAUGGUUAUUCAUAAUUUCAACAAGCCCAUGCAGCCGUCUUUCCACAAGGGAGGAUCAUUCCUGAGGUUGUACUCUUUUCAGGUUCCUGUGCUCUACACCCCGCCCACCAGUUCCCUAGGGCUGUAUUCCAGUUAGCAGUACUCUCUGCCUGUAAUGUGGCUUUUCCCAGUCACUAGAAAAUGUCAAGAGGUAUAGUUGAACUGUGGAGGCUAUUAAUCUCCACGACACUGUCAAAGGAAAGAGUAGAGUUUCAUAGCUACAGGUUAUUAACACUACUGACAAUGGAAAAGUUGACAUUUUUCUUUUCUUUGCAUCUGGACUCUUGCCUCUUUUAAAAAUAAAUCGGCAAUGAACAGAAUAUGAAGCAUUUUUUGCUGUUUCAAUAUUGCACAUACAACAAUGAUGAGAGGUGAAACCAAACCUAUAUUUUAUAAUCAGAUUUUUGCCUUCCUGAACAGAGGGGUUUCUCAGUUACUUUGCAUAGCAUAACUUUUAAUUCCAGGGUGGUUAUCUGUGAUGGUAAAUGUUUCAGUGCCAGCAAGUUUUGCUUUCGAGUUCAUCCCCUCCUCACCCCCCACAUAAGGACUAUUGGCAUCUGGAAGGAGUUAGAUCACCCUCAUUUGACAGCAAUAUUACGCUUGUUAAGAUCCACUGAGCUGUGAAAACACAUCCAUAAAACAUCUAAGGUAGAAUUUAAGAACACAGCCUUUCUCCUCUCUCUUCUUGAGGGGUAAUCCAAACUUUUUAACUUGAUAUAUUACAGAGCACUGUCAUUUUCUGUUUCAGCCAAUCUGGUUCAUAUUCACUGACUGUAAUUAGGAGUGUAGGUGUGUGAAUUAGUUGGCUUAAAAACUCCAAAGCGUGCACACACGUAAAUGUGUUGCAUGUAAAUGUUCUGAGUACAGAAUACCUAAUUUGAGUGAAUGACAGGAAGCACAACAUCAUUGAAAUUGUCAGGAAAACAGAAAUUAGGUAUUUUAGAGCCCUGGGUGGUUUUUUUUUUUGUUUUUUUUUUUGUUUGUUUGUUUCUGCAUGCUGCCUUCACGUAUUACAAGCCAGAGAAGCUGCAAAAUAUGUACAGAAUUGAGUGGGAUCUUGGGUGUAACCGAUUACCAUGAAAAAUUGGCAAGAGGGAAACCACUUCUUGUUUUCUGCGUGUUCUUAUGUAACCUUGAACAAACUGUUCUGUUUAAAAAAAAAAAAAAAGUCUUUACUUUUCUCUUUCUGGGGGGAAAAAAAUUGAACUUGAGCCUUCCAAAUAUUUUUGAUAGUGUAUUCCCUCCUUCCCACCCCCAUCAGAAUUCCCCAAGUGUUGGAUUGCAGAUGGAAGUCUGGACUGGGAGUCUCAGCAACUUGACUUUGAGCUAUAUUUUAACUAUGUAGAAGAUUACGGCAUGUUCAAGGGUGCUGGAUUCUAUCACUGCUUUGCUCUGCUUUUUUCUUAUGUCAACAGGGUUUUACUAGUCUACAUUCCCUGUUUGUGCUUAAUCAUUUUAUAGUGGAAAUAGAUCGGGGAGAGGUUACAGACAACAUGUGUGGAAACCGUGAAUUGCGAUCUCUGAUUUUCUCUAUUCCGAAUCAUUCAAUAAAUGCCUUUAUUUGGUUCCAGGAAUUUCUUUGCUCUUUUUCUUCCAGCAUUUUGGUUCCUGCCUCUCCUGUCCUUUGCUUUGCUGAUCUCCUGUUUUU